AAGGAAUGGCAAUAUUUAAGACAUGCUUGUCCAUCUGUGCCCUUCUCCUGACACUAACUAUUUUGGAAAUAGGGAACUUCAUUGAAUCUCCAAGUCAGGUUUUACCGGAACACAAUGAAGAAGAAUCAUGUAUACCUCACACCAGGGGGAAAAGGAGUGUGGCUACAAACCAAUGGAAUUACACGCUUGAUGUUGUAUUGAAUGCCUCUGAAGUGGCAAUAAUUCAGCAGUUUCAGUCCUCUUUGAACAGUUUUCCCAUACAACUUAGUAACAACACAGAGAUCUCGGACAUUACCUUCACAACAGUGUGUUCCUCGACUGCCACUGGCUUCCAGUGUAGAUGUGAGGACAAUUUUGCUUGGCCAUACAGUACAUGUGUCACGUAUGGAGCCUGUGAUUCCAUUCGUAGUGGCAUCUGUACAUGCAUUGAUGCUAUUCCAGCUGAUGGACAGUCCUGCCAGGCAAUAUCAGGGCUUCUGGCUCAGGUUGAGUACGAUGUGGAUGUUAAUCUGAAUUUUACUGAUCUUGGGACCGUGGACGCCCUUAGAAGCAUCCUGGAC